rnacentral:sRNA from 1 species
AAUAAUGCAUGAACCCUGUCCUGAGGAGCUCACGGCUCAGUGUAGGAGGCAGACGUGUGCACUGAAUUGAACUGAAUUCCAACUGUACAUCCUGUAUUAUUUCUACUGCAUGUUGACUAACCACAAAAAAUUGUAUGGCGACUUCUUGAGCUGGAAGCUAGAGGAAACCCUUGCCCAGUUCCCUUUGCAGCCUGGGAAGGUGGCCACGUUCACAAUCAACAUCAAAGUGAAGCUGGAUUUCUCCUGCCAGGAGAAUCUGCUGCAGGAUCUCAGUGAUGAUGGAAUCAGUGUGAGUGGCUUUCCCCUGUCCAGUCCUUUUCGGCAGGUCGUUCGGCCCCGAGUGGAGGGCAAACCUGUGAACCCACCCGAGAGCAACAAAGCAGGCGACUACAGCCACGUGAAGCUUUUCUGAAUUUUACCUGUGGACAGAGUCCCAACACCUCUGUAUCCUGCACUCAAGGCCUUUGAUGCCUUCCCCGUGGACCAUCAGUUUGUCGGUUCUUUGUCUCAUUGCUCCCUCGCGACCCCCGUCUGCCCUUGGAGGCCAG